UAACGCGUGGGUAACCUGCCUCAUACAGGGGGAUAGCAGCUGGAAACGGCUAAUAAAACCGCAUAAGCGCACAGCAUCGCAUGAUGCAGUGUGAAAAACUCCGGUGGUAUGAGAUGGACCCGCGUCUGAUUAGCUAGUUGGUGAGGUAACGGCCCACCAAGGCGACGAUCAGUAGCCGGCCUGAGAGGGUGACCGGUCACAUUGGGACUGAGGCACGGCCCAA
rnacentral:rRNA from 1 species